GAUGAACGCUGGCGGCGUGCCUAAUACAUGCAAGUCGAGCGAACAGACGAAGAGCUUGCUCCUCUGACGUUAGCGGCGGACGGGUGAGUAACACGUGGAUAACCUACCUAUAAGACUGGGAUAACUUCGGGAAACCGGAGCUAAUACCGGAUAAUAUAUUGAACCGCAUGGUUCAAUAGUGAAAGACGGUUUUGCUGUCACUUAUAGAUGGAUCCGCGCCGCAUUAGCUAGUUGGUAAGGUAACGGCUUACCAAGGCAACGAUGCGUAGCCGACCUGAGAGGGUGAUCGGCCACACUGGAACUGAGACACGGUCCAGACUCCUACGGGAGGCAGCAGUAGGGAAUCUUCCGCAAAGGGCGAAAGCUUGACGGAGCAACGCCGCGUGAGUGAUGAAGGUCUUCGGAUCGUAAAACUCUGUUAUUAGGGAAGAACAAAUGUGUAAGUAACUAUGCACGUCUUGACGGUACCUAAUCAGAAAGCCACGGCUAACUACGUG
rnacentral:rRNA from 1 species